rnacentral:lncRNA from 1 species
UUUAUUUCUGGUAGUGCUAGAAUGUAAUUCUUUCUGUCACAGAACAGAUGAAGUGCACUGGUUUUGGAUAGUCAGUAUACACCAGAUGAAAGUACACUGUGUUCUGCCCCACCUGGAACACCCAACCCUGUUAUUGUGCUCUGCCUGCACAUCACCAGAGAUGUCAGCAAAGGUAUGAGCAAUUCACACCAAGUCUAGAUUUUUUUCUGGUAUGCCUACCUGUGAUUUCCAGCCUGUUACAUAAGGUUGCUUUUCCAAUACAGGGGAGCAAGUGAUGGUGGCUACGAGCUUCAUUUUUAUUUACAUUUUUGUGGACCUCAAGCAUGGAUCAGUAGCAGAGACUGGCAGAAUGUCAUCUGGACUCCAAAAGCCCCAGGACAAUGAGGGAGUUUCAUGGCAGCAACCUGCAGGAGCCAGCCGUGCAGCCGGGAACAGAGGUGACACCAGACAAGGGUACCUGCAGGAGAUUUUAGCCAGAGGCAGAGGUUCCAGGGCGAGGGCAGCAGCAGCCCCGUGCCCAGCCAUGCAGCCCCCGGGUUACAGCAAUGACAGCUUACCAAGGCAAGGACUGAAAACUUCUUGCCAUAUCUGCUGUUAAUUAAUAACUACUUACUUGGACCUGGAAAAGGCAAAAACUGAUCUGCCUCUCCUGGAAUACUGUACCUCCAGAUUAAUGAUAGGUUAUUGACCUGUUACUGCUCACAGCAGCUUUCUUCUUAAAAUAUGCUAAAGUAUUUAUUUUUACCUCUUAAAAAGGUAUAUGCACAUGAACAUUUAACAUUAUAUCACUGAUUUUGCACAUGACAACAAAUAAAAGAAAAAGGCUGAAUUUGUGUUCUUAUAACUUGCAGCUUUUACUGAGAAGCAUAGAUUUUUUUUUUAAUGGG